UACACAAACUCAUUUCGUUUUUUACCUCUUGCUAUUCUGAGUUCUGACCCUUCUUAUUUCCAUUUCAAUCUCCUCUCUUUUCCAUACAUUUGGUCAGACAACCAAAAAACCAAUCUUCCCUGAACUAUGUGGUUGAAUCUCAAUCUCAAAGGAUUGCGUGAAUGACUUCAAAGGGCCUCAAAUCUACUCGAGAGAUGUUCUCCAUGCUUUGCAUCGAUUUCAUCAGGAAUAUAGGGCCGACCCAAAAGAUCAUCCUCUAGCCAAACGGUUGGCCUAUCAAGAUGGCAGUUAAUCAGGGUAAAUUUAUAACUGGUGGUUCAACCAAAUCCCAUAAAUCAAAUGAAUGAGUUACUUCUAAGCUUCUGAAGUGGCUUUCCUGGAUAGAAUACCUUUAUGGACCUAAUAUACACAGUCAGUAGUCUCCAAAACAAGAACGACCAAUUCCCAGAAUUGCAGAGCUCUAUGAUCACUAUGAAUAGCAAUAGAGUAAGAACUAAUACUACACAUUCAUAUAUAACUACACACCAUAACUGCCACACACACACACACACACACACACACACACACACACAAAAAACCCAAGUGUCAAGCUUCUACUAUUAUGUAUGGCUACAGUAGGUGAGGUUAAGUGUAUUAACAGUUGGUCAUUAUUUUGCAAGUGUAACCCAACAGUUGCCUCCUUUAAGUAAAGAAAUUCCACCUCUUGGCCAAAUUUCUGGAGCCUUUGACAUAAGAAAAAAAAAAAAAAAUUCCUUUUGUUUUAUGCCUUUUAUCUAUUUUUUACUACCUCUUCUCUUCCCUUCUCAACAUUUUCAUCUGGCAAGCUCUUUUAUAACUAGAACGGAAAAUUAUCAAUCUUUGAACUUUUUUAUUCCUUAUUUAAUAUUACCUUGGUUGGAUAAUGGUCCCCAAAGACUUGAAGAAAUUUCCAAUAAUCACAUUUUUUGCACUUAUCUCACUUCAGUCCAGUUGUGCAUCAAAUGUUUCUCAAGAUGGAACGUUGGCAUGCCUAUCCACUGAAGGUUAUCAAGGUUAGUUUUUUAUCCUCUUAAGUUUUGUCAAACAGCCUAAAAAAUUUAGUAUUAUCUAUAUAUAUAUAU